rnacentral:misc_RNA from 1 species
GAAAAUUGCUUUUAUGGAAUGCAAGUGCAUUUAGCAAAAGUUAAUUUUACCAGCUUUUAACUGCAAUUGACCAAGUUUUGCUGUGAGAAUCUGUAUUGUACAAGAAUCAAUAAUUUGAGUACUCAGUACCAUUUUGAAGAAAUAUGUACACUUUGGAGACUGGUGUUUAAAAAAGAGCAUUUUUUUAAAGGUGUCUCUUAUUGUGAUAUAUAUGCAUUUAGACAAUUUUAACAUACCAAAAAUAUGCAUUUCCUUUGAGUUGUAUAAAAUGUCUAGAGGGUUUUUUUUCAUUUACCAUUUAUAUGUACUUGUAAGUCAAAGCAUUGUUUUGCAUGUUUAUAUACCCACACAUUACCCAGGGAAUUUUCUAUCCUGCAACUUGUGUGGUAGUAACAAAACUGACACUGAAAAGAAAUGUAGACCAGGGUCUUAAUUAAUUCUGUAUACCGGUAUAUAUCCAUGUACCAGUAAAUCUUCAAAACUUAGCUCUAUUUGAUAUAUCUGUGGAACUUUCUUAAUAGACACUGUGAUAAAGAUCUGCAUUGUAGUGCCUUUUAUAUUUUACAGGGAACAUUUCCAGCUAAUUGUUUUAUUUUGGAGCUUUUGGCAUCUGAAUUUAGUAGGUGGAAAUUUGUUGUCUUUGUAUCAAAGGCCUUUAUUGUUGGUAUACUGUAUCAGGUAUUGUUAUAUAAUAGAGAUAUAUUGUCGUUGCUUUAUGAAAUUGUGGACUAAUUGAAAGUAAAAUAAUAAUACCAAUC